AAGUCAGAUGUAGAAACGGCCCGGGGCUACAACCGUACGGUAAUUGCUAUUUAGAAACUGGCGGACUAGAGUACUGUAGAGGGGGUAGAAUUUCAGGUGUAGCGGUGAAAAUGCGUAGAGAUCUGAAGGAAUACCGGUGGCGAAGGCGGCCCCCUGGACAGAUACUGACACUCAGAUGCGAAAGCGUGGGGAGCAAACAGGAUUAGAUACCCUGGUAG
rnacentral:rRNA from 1 species